GGCUCAAUGGUUUAGUGGUAUAAUUCUUGCUUAGGGUGCGAGAGGUCCCGGGUUCAAUUCCCGGUUGAGCCC
rnacentral:tRNA from 1 species